UACGGAGGAUGCAAGCGUUAUCCGGAAUGAUUGGGCGUAAAGCGUCCGCAGGUGGCAGUUCAAGUCUGCUGUCAAAGACCGGGGCUUAACUUCGGAAAGGCAGUGGAAACUGAACAGCUAGAGUAUGGUAGGGGCAGAGGGAAUUCCUGGUGUAGCGGUGAAAUGCGUAGAGAUCAGGAAGAGCAUCGGUGGCGAAGGCGCUCUGCUGGACCAUAACUGACACUCAGGGACGAAAGCUAGGGGAGCGAAUGGG
rnacentral:rRNA from 1 species